GGGGGCGAUGUGGGUUCGACGGGGAUAUGGUAGGCUUAAGCUGCAUGCCGGGGUUCCUAUCGCCUCGUGAAAAAAAGAUAGGGUAAAAACAAAUGCCAAUGACUAUGCUUAUGCUCUGGCUGCCUAAUUGAAGCAGCCAGCGUCUACCCAACCUCGCCUGCAGGGUUGGUGUAGGCGUCGGUGAUGCAGGCUAGCUAUCAACUGGUGCCCAUGACAGUUGAUAGCGAAAAUUGACAUGGGCUAGCUUCUGGGCUUCCAGUUCGGGGGAAUGCCAGAAGCGAAAAGGGAGACCCGAACUAAGCAUGUAGAUGCUUAAGCCGAAUAUUCCCGGACGCGGGUUCAAUUCCCGCCGCCUCCACCA
rnacentral:tmRNA from 1 species